CCUCUUUCUCUCCCUCUCUCAUUCUCCCAUCCCUCUUUCUCUCCCUCUCUCAUUCUCCCAUCCCUCUUUCUCUCCCUCUCUCAUUCUCCCAUCCCUCUUUCUCUCCCUCUCUCAUUCUCCCAUCCCUCUUUCUCUCCCUCUCUCAUUCUCCCAUCCCUCUUUUACUCACUCUCUCAUUCUCCCAUCCCUCUUUUACUCACUCUCUCAUUCUCCCAUCCCUCUUUUACUCACUCUCUCAUUCUCCCAUCCCUCUUUUACUCACUCUCUCUAUCCUCUUUCUUUCUCUGUUUAACUAUUUUCUCCUCUCCUUUGCCUUGUUAUCACUGCAGACAAAUAAACUUUAUACACACACACACACAGGCACAUUGAGUUAUUUCUGCAACACACUCUUUUAACAAAAAUACCAACCAAACGCCACCCAAACCAAGCAAUCUGCUGUUAUAUGCAUAACAAAAGGGCCUGACGUAUCCAUAAUUUCAUAUGGACCUUUAGAUCAUUCAAUAUUGACUGGUGAUUGUGUGAAUGGGACAGAUUACUGUUGUAAGACCUGUACACACCCUCUGGAAGAAUCUGAUUGGCAGACAAUGAUCAUGUUCAUUCUAAGGAAUCUAAAUUAAUAUAGUUUCACAUUGUGUCAAUGUUUUUCACUUUCUUCCCAGAAGUUUGCUGUGAUGGGGGGGGGGUCACAGUCCUUUAAAAACCUUGGGUCAUCAAACUUUCUCUGGAAGUGAACAUGAGACCUAAAACAGCUGCCGUUGCUCUAAGUUCUUACUGUUAUUUAUGUCGCUUGGGGUUAGAAGAGCAUCUGCAUCAAACUAUAGACUGAUACCAAAUGUUGUUGGGUUAGUUUGUUAUCUAUUUGAUUUUCUGGGUUUUGCGCACAACUAGAGUUAGAGAAGAUACUCUGCUGCUGUUUUACUGACUCUCUCUCUCACACACACUCACCAUCUCUCUGUGCCAACUAUGUGUGUGUGUGAGAGAGAGGGGGUGGGGGGGGGGUAUUGAAUUUUUCUGUGUGGAAAAUAACCAGGAUUCUGACAGUACAGCGGGAGUACUACAGCCAUAGAGCAGGAAGACGAUCAGUACUCUGUCUCCCUAUUGCAAUCUCUCUAUUGUCUAGAUUUUAUCAAUGUGUGUGUGUGUUGUAGCUGUUGGGUGUGACUAGUAGGACAGUGGAGUUGUGUACGUAUUUUGGCGUCUAGUCUGUAGAAUGACAGGAACACUUCUUAGGUUCCUCCUUCCUGUGAGGUCAGAGGUCAGGAGGAAGUUGAUCAUGUGUCAUAUCUCACCAGACAUUCCUCCAUGUUUGUUUUCUCUGGGAGGCAUCUGGAACUUUCUAUCUAGCCAAAUGAGAAUGUGAAACAAUGUUAUCCCCUCUUCUUCUUUCGCUCUGACCGCGCUGCCCAUUCUGUUACUGAAGACCCCCCCCCCCCCCCCUCGGCCCAGAUAACUGUGUGUGUGUGUGUGGAGGGGGUUAAAGAAGACUGACUAUGGACUCUGCUUCCUGUAUCUGCCACUGGCCACACAAACGCCCAGCCCUCUGAGUCUGUGCCACAUCGCUGUUCUUUCUACAUCUCCGAGGAAGGUCAAGAUGUGUGCUACAAACUAACCUCUUCCAAAGAUACCGAAGAGAAUGCUUGAAUCAGUUUUCCUUUGGGUUCAUUAAAACAGCUCCAGUACCACUGGAUCCCAGCUCAGCUUACUCUCUGGAGAGAGGAACAAUCUUGGUUCAACUCAACCCUGGGCUACAAUAACACUGUAGCAGAAAGCUUACUGAAAUAAAACUGGAGAUUACUACAAUUA